AUUGAACGCUAGCGGGAUGCUUUACACAUGCAAGUCGAACGAGUGGCGGACGGGUGAGUAAUAUAUCGGAACGUGCCCAGUAGCGGGGGAUAACUACUCGAAAGAGUGGCUAAUACCGCAUCCACUGGUACGGCCGGAUAUCGGAUUGGCGAGUUGGUGGGGUAAAGGCUCACCAAGGAAACGAGCCGUAGCUGGUUUGAGAGGACGACCAGCCACACUGGGACUGAGACACGGCCCAGACUCCUACGGGAGGCAGCAGUGGGGAAUUUUGGACAAUGGGGGAAACCCUGAUCCAGCCAUCCCGCGUGUAUGAGAAGGCCUUCGGGUUGUAAAGUACUUUUGGCAGAGAAGCGGUAUCUGCAGAAUAAGCACCGGCUAACUACGUGCCAGCAGCCGCGGUAAUUC
rnacentral:rRNA from 1 species